rnacentral:rRNA from 1 species
CCUACGGGAGGCAGCAGUGAGGAAUAUUGGUCAAUGGUCGGGAGACUGAACCAGCCAAGCCGCGUGAGGGAGGAAGGUACAGAGUAUCGUAAACCUCUUUUGUCAGGGAACAAAGGCGGGGACGUGUCCCCGGAUGAGCGUACCUGAAGAAAAAGCAUCGGCUAACUCGGUGCCAGCAGCCGCGGUAAUACGGAGGUUGCGAGCGUUAUCCGGAUUUAUUGGGGUUAAAGGGUGCGCAGGCGGUCUGUUAAGUCAGCGGUCAAAGCCCGGGGCUCAACCCCGGCCCGCCGUUGAAACUGGCAGGCUCGAGUUGGGGAGAGGUAUGCGGAAUGCGCGGUGUAGCGGUGAAAUGCAUAGAUAUCGCGCAGAACUCCGAUUGCGAAGGCAGCAUGCCGGCUCCACACUGACGCUGAGGCACGAAGGCGUGGGUAUCGAACAGGAUUAGAUACCCGUGUAGUC